AUUGAACGCUGGCGGCAUGCCUUACACAUGCAAGUCGAACGGUAACAGGUCUUCGGAUGCUGACGAGUGGCGAACGGGUGAGUAAUACAUCGGAACGUGCCCGAUCGUGGGGGAUAACGAAGCGAAAGCUUUGCUAAUACCGCAUAAGAUCUACGGAUGAAAGCAGGGGACCGCAAGGCCUUGUGCGAACGGAGCGGCCGAUGGCAGAUUAGGUAGUUGGUGGGAUAAAAGCUUACCAAGCCGACGAUCUGUAGCUGGUCUGAGAGGACGACCAGCCACACUGGGACUGCGACACGGCCCAGACUCCUACGGGAGGCAGCAGUGGGGAAUUUUGGACAAUGGGCGAAAGCCUGAUUCAGCCAUGCCGCGUGCAGGAUGAAGGCCUUCGGGUUGUAAACUGCUUUUGUACGGAACGAAAAGACUCUGGUUAAUACCUGGGGUCCAUGACGGUACCGUAAGAAUAAGCACCGGCUAACUACGUGCCAGCCGCCGCCGUAAGAC
rnacentral:rRNA from 1 species